GAGUUUGAUCCUGGCUCAGGAUGAACGCUGGCGGCGUGCUUAACACAUGCAAGUCGAGCGAAGCAUAAAAACAGAUUUCUUCGGAAUGAAAUUUUUAUGACUGAGCGGCGGACGGGUGAGUAACGCGUGGGUGACCUGCCUCAUACAGGGGGAUAACAGACAGAAAUGUCUGCUAAUACCGCAUAAGCGCACAGUGCUGCAUGGCACAGUGUGAAAAACUCCGGUGGUAUGAGAUGGACCCGCGUCUGAUUAGCUAGUUGGUAAGGUAACGGCUUACCAAGGCGACGAUCAGUAGCCGGCCUGAGAGGGUGAACGGCCACAUUGGGACUGAGACACGGCCCAAACUCCUACGGGAGGCAGCAGUGGGGAAUAUUGCACAAUGGGGGAAACCCUGAUGCAGCGACGCCGCGUGAAGGAAGAAGUAUUUCGGUAUGUAAACUUCUAUCAGCAGGGAAGAAAAUGACGGUACCUGACUAAGAAGCCCCGGCUAACUAC
rnacentral:rRNA from 1 species